AUGGAGAUGAAACCCAAAAGAUUUUCGUUGGGGCGUAACCCUCUCAGCGACGCGCCACAUCGGAACCCGGGUGUGGUGGAAAAUGGGCAAGGGCCGGGCCGUCACCCCCCAAGUGGCGCGCCGUAUCUUGAUCCGGAUACGGUGGCAAGUGAGCGAGGAUCGGGUCGUCGCAUCCUUAGUGGCGCGCUACAUCGGCGCCCGGAUGUAGUGGAAAAUGAGCAAGGGUCUUCGCAUUUGACUCGACGAGUGCGAAGGGUAAGGAAGCUAGCCGAGCCUAGGAGGAUUCGCUUAGGUAGCUGGAACGUAGGGUCUCUGACAGGGAAGCUUCGGGAGCUAGUUGAUGCAGCAGUGAGGAGAGGUGUUGAUAUCCUUUGCAUCCAAGAAACCAAAUGGAGAGGACAGAAGGCGAAGGAGGUGGAGGAUACCGGCUUCAAGCUGUGGUACACGGGGACGGCUGCAAACAGAAAUGGCAUAGGCAUCUUGAUCAACAAGAGCCUCAAGUAUGGAGUGGUAGACGUCAGGAGACGUGGGGACCGGAUUAUCCUGGUCAAGCUGGUAGCUGAGGACUUGGUUCUCAAUGUUAUCAGCGCAUAUGCCCCGCAAGUAGGCCACAAUGAGAACACCAAGAGGGAGUUCUGGGAAGGCUUGGAAGACAUGGUUAGGAGUGUACCGAUUGGUGAGAAGCUCUUCAUAGGAGGAGACCUCAAUGGCCACGUGGGUACAUCUAACACAGGUUUUGAAGGGGCGCAUGGGGGCUUUGGCUAUGGCAUCAAGAAUCAAGAAGGAGAAGAUGUCUUAAGCUUUGCUCUAGCCUACAACAUGAUUGUAGCUAACACCCUCUUUAGAAAGAGAGAAUCACAUCUGGUGACUUUUAGUAGUGGCCAACACUCUAGCCAGAUUGAUUUCAUCCUCUCGAGAAGAGAAGAUAGGCGUGCGUGCCUAGACUGUAAGGUGAUACCUGGGGAGAGUGUUGUACCCCAGCAUAAGCUGGUGGUUGCUGACUUCCGCUUUCGGAUUCGUGUCCAGCGGGAUAAGCGUGCCAAGGUCGCUAGAACGAAGUGGUGGAAGCUCAAGGGGGAGGUAGCUCAGGUGUUCAAGGAGAGGGUAUUUAAGGAGGGCCCUUGGGAGGAAGGAGGGGAUGCGGACAAUGUGUGGAUGAAGAUGGCGACUUGCAUUCGUAAGGUGGCCUCGGAGGAGUUUGGAGUGUCCAGGGGAAGGAGAAGUGAAGAUAAGGAUACCUGGUGGUGGAAUGAUGAUGUCCAGAAGGUGCUUAAAGAGAAGAAAGAUUGCUUCAGACGCCUAUACCUGGAUAGGAGUGCAGACAACAUAGAGAAGUACAAGAUGGCGAAGAAGGCCGCAAAGCGAGCUGUUGGUGAAGCAAGGGGUCGGGCAUAUGAGGACCUCUACCAACGGUUAGGCACGAAGGAAGGUGAAAGGGACAUCUAUAAGAUGGCUAAGAUCCGGGAGAGGAAGACGAGGGAUAUUGGCCAAGUCAAAUGCAUCAAGGACGGAGCAGGCCAACUCUUGGUGAAGGACGAAGAGAUUAAGCAUAGAUGGCGGGAGUACUUCGACAAGCUGUUCAAUGGGGAGAAUGAGAGUUCUACCAUUGAACUGAAUGACUCCUUUGAUGAGACCAACAUGCGUUUUGUGCGGCGCAUCCAGGAGUCUGAGGUGAAGGAGGCUUUAAAAAGGAUGAAAGGAGGCAAGGCGAUGGGCCCUGAUUGUAUCCCCAUUGAGGUGUGGAAAGGUCUCGGGGACAUAGCGAUAGUAUGGCUAACCAAGCUUUUCAACCUCAUUUUUCGGGCAAACAAGAUGCCAGAAGAAUGGAGACGGAGUAUAUUAGUACCAAUCUUCAAGAACAAGGGAGAUGUUCAGAGUUGUACUAAUUACCGUGGAAUUAAGCUGAUGAGCCAUACAAUGAAGCUAUGGGAGAGAGUCAUUGAGCACUGCUUAAGAAGAAUGACAAGCGUGACCAAAAAUCAGUUUGGUUUCAUGCCUGGGAGGUCAACCAUGGAAGCCAUUUUCUUGGUACGACAACUUGUAGAGAGAUAUAGGGAGCAUAAGAAGGACUUGCAUAUGGUGUUCAUUGACUUGGAGAAGGCCUAUGAUAAGAUACCGCGGAAUGUCAUGUGGUGGGCCUUGGAGAAACACAAAGUCCCAGCAAAGUACAUUACCCUCAUCAAGGACAUGUACAAUAAUGUUGUGACAAGUGUUCGAACAAGUGAUGUCGACACCGAUGACUUCCCGAUUAAGAUAGGACUGCAUCAGGGGUCAGCUUUGAGCCCUUAUCUUUUUGCAUUGGUGAUGGAUGAGGUCACAAGGGGUAUACAAGGAGAUAUCCCAUGGUGUAUGCUCUUUGCGGAUGAUGUGGUGCUAGUUGACGAUAGUCGGACGGGGGUAAAUAGGAAGUUAGAGUUAUGGAGACAAACCUUGGAAUCGAAAGGGUUUAGGCUUAGUAGAACUAAAACCGAGUACAUGAUGUGCGGUUUCAGUACUACUAGCUGUGAGGAGGAGGAGGUUAGCCUUGAUGGCCAGGUGGUACCUCGGAAGGACACCUUUCGGUAUUUGGGGUCAAUGUUGCAGGAGGAUGGGGGUAUUGAUGAAGAUGUGAACCAUCGAAUCAAAGCCGGAUGGAUGAAGUGGCGCCAAGCUUCUGGCAUUCUCUGUGACAAGAGAGUGCCACAAAAGCUAAAAGGCAAGUUCUACAGGACGGCGGUUCGACCCGCAAUGUUGUAUGGCGCGGAGUGUUGGCCGACUAAAAGGCGACAUGUUUAA
rnacentral:rRNA from 1 species